CCUACGGGGGGCUGCAGUGGGGAAUAUUGGACAAUGGGGGCAACCCUGAUCCAGCCAUGCCGCGUGUGUGAAGAAGGCCCUCGGGUUGUAAAGCACUUUCAGUGAGGAAGAACGCCUGGUGGUUAAUACCCAUCAGGAAAGACAUCACUCACAGAAGAAGCACCGGCUAACUCCGUGCCAGCAGCCGCGGUAAUACGGAGGGUGCGAGCGUUAAUCGGAAUUACUGGGCGUAAAGCGCGCGUAGGUGGCUUGAUAAGCCGGUUGUGAAAGCCCCGGGCUCAACCUGGGAACGGCAUCCGGAACUGUCAAGCUAGAGUGCAGGAGAGGAAGGUAGAAUUCCCGGUGUAGCGGUGAAAUGCGUAGAGAUCGGGAGGAAUACCAGUGGCGAAGGCGGCCUUCUGGACUGACACUGACCCUGAGGUGCGAAAGCGUGGGUAGCAAACAGGAUUAGAUACCCUGGUAGUC
rnacentral:rRNA from 1 species